GAGGACUUCGUGUAGUGGGUGCACGUCGCAAAGCCGUUAGGUUCCGCCGAGGGUACGCGAAGGCCUCAGUUCGAUCCUGGGAGUCCUCA